rnacentral:rRNA from 1 species
GUAGGGAAUAUUGCGCAAUGGGGGAAACCCUGACGCAGCGACGCCGCGUGAGUGAUGAAGGCCUUCGGGUCGUAAAGCUCUGUUGCAGGGGAAUAAAAAAAUGAAGGUACCCUGUGAGGAAGGAUCGGCUAACUUCGUGCCAGCAGCCGCGGUAAGACGAGGGAUCCUAGCGUUGCUCGGAAUCAUUGGGCGUAAAGCGGGCGUAGGUGGCUUGGUAAGUCAGGUGUGAAAGCCCAGGGCUCAACCCUGGAAGUGCAUUUGAUACUGCUGAGCUUGAGUGUCGGAGAGGUUACCGGAAUACCUGGUGUAGUGGUGAAAUACGUGGAUAUCAGGUGGAACACCGGAGGCGAAGGCGGGUAACUGGACGAACACUGACACUGAGGCCCGAAAGCGUGGGGAUCAAACAGGAUUAGAAACCCUAGUAGUCC